rnacentral:lncRNA from 10 species
GUUUUCCUUCUAACAGACAGGACCCUCAGCUGCAGGUCUGUUGGAGUACCUGGCCAUGUGAGGUGUCAGUCUGCCCCUGCUAGGGGGUGCCUCCCAGUUAGGCUGCUCGGGGGUCAGGGGUCAGGGACCCACUUGAGGAGGCAGUCUGCCCGUUCUCAGAUCUCCAGCUGCAUGCUGGGAGAACCACUGCUCUCUUCAAAGCUGUCCGACAGGGACAUUUAAGUCUGCAGAGGUUACUGCUGCCUUUUUGUUUGUCUGUGCCCUGCCACCAGAGGUGGAGCCUACAGAGGCAGGCAGGCCUCCUUGAGCUGUGGUUGGCUCCACCCAGUUCGAGCUUCCCUGCUGCUUUGUUUACCUAAGCAAGCCUGGGCAAUGGCAGGCGACCCUCCCCCAGUCUCGCUGCCGCCUUGCAGUUUGAUCUCAGACUGCUGUGCUAGCAAUCAGUGAGACUCUGUGGGCGUAGGACCCUCCAAGCCAGGUGCGGAAUAUAAUCUCCUGGUGAGCCGUUUUUUAAGACCAUCAGAAAAGCACAGUAUUCGGUGGGAGUGACCCGAUUUUCCAGGUGCCAUCUGUCACCCCUUUCUUUGACUAGGAAAGGGAACUCCCUGACCCCUUGCACUUCCCGAGUGAGGCAAUGCCUCUCCCUGCUUCGGCUCGUGCAUGGUGCGCGCACCCACUGACCUGCGCCCACUGUCUGGCACUCCCUAAUGAGAUGAACCCGGUACCUCAGAUGGAAAUGCAGAAAUCACCCGUCUUCUGCGUCGCUCAUGCUGGGAGCUGUAGACCGGAGCUGUUCCUAUUCGGCCAUCUUCAAGAUUCUUUGAAAAAGAGAGAGGAGUUGGCACAAGUCAAUAUGGGGACAAAGUUGGUGAGAAUUCCUUACUUUAAGAAUUUACAGUGUGAGAACAUGAGUUGGGAAAUAAAACUGUAAUAAAAUUACAUUUAUAUUUAUUUGUAAACUCACACCAUGUUGGAAAUAAAAAUAAAAAUACAGAAGUAUAGGUCGGGUGUGGUGGCUCACUCUUGUAAUGCCAGCACUUGGGAGGCCAAGGCAGGUGGAUCACGAGGUCAGGAGAUUGAGACCAUCCUGGCCAAUAUGUUGAAACCCUGUCUCUACUAAAAAUACAAAAAUUAGCUGGGUGUCGUGGCACGCAUCUGUAAUCCCAGCUACUCGGGAGGCUGAGGCAGGAGAAUCCCUUGAACCCAGGAGGUGGAGAUUGCAUUGAGCUGAGAUCGCGCCACUGCACUCCAGCCUAGAGACAGAGCAAGACUCCAUCAAAAAAAAAGUAUAAAUAUUCCAUUAUCCAACAAUUCCUGUUGUAAUAAUCUAUCCCACAUAAAUAACAGAAUGUGAAUAUAUGUG